rnacentral:rRNA from 1 species
GGAAGUAAAAGUCGUAACAAGGUUUCCGUAGGUGAACCUGCGGAAGGAUCAUUAACGAGUUUUGAAAGGGGUUGUAGCUGGCCUUCCGAGGCAUGUGCACGCCCUGCUCAUUCCACUCUACACCUGUGCACUUACUGUGGGUCUCAGGCGAGCGUCGGUCGCUUCGCGGCGUCGUCGUUCAACUGGGCUCACGUUUUACUACAAACUAUUAAAGUAUCAGAAUGUCUACUGCGAAUUAACGCAUUUAAAUACAACUUUCAGCAACGGAUCUCUUGGCUCUCGCAUCGAUGAAGAACGCAGCGAAAUGCGAUAAGUAAUGUGAAUUGCAGAAUUCAGUGAAUCAUCGAAUCUUUGAACGCACCUUGCGCUCCUUGGUAUUCCGAGGAGCAUGCCUGUUUGAGUGUCAUGAAAUUCUCAACCUAACGAGUCUUUGCGGGCUCGGUAGGCUUGGACUUGGAGGUUCUUGUCGGCCUAACGGUCGGCUCCUCUUAAAUGCAUUAGCUCGGUUCCUUGCGGAUCGGCUCACGGUGUGAUAAUUGUCUACGCCGCGACCGUUGAAGCGUUUUGGCCGGCUUCUAAUCGUCUCGUUGGAGACACUACUCUUUAUGACCUUCUGACCUCAAAUCAGGUAGGACUACCCGCUGAACUUAAGCAUAUCAAUAAGCGGAGGA